ACUGUGACAUAACCUUGAAUUUUUGUUAUUAACCUUAUAUCAACACAAAAUAUGUGUUACUACCAGGUUUUUUCAAUGAAAAUGACUACAAAUUGAUAAUUAUAGGUAUUUGAGAACAGAGGAGUGUUAAUGAUUAGUCCUUACCAUUACAAUGGAAAAUUCAAAAAGCAAUAUUCUUAUAAUAGAGCUGUUAAUGAAGCUGAAAAAAUUGUAGGAUAUCCAACAUCAUUUUUGAGGUUGAGAUGGCUGUUAAAUGAUGAACUUGUCAAUGUGGCUUUGCACAUGAGAAAACUCAUAGGAACCAAUCAUCCAUUGGAACACUGCCAAAGAACUGAUUUUGAAUAAACAAACUCCAGCAUGGGGUCUUAUAGUAUUAUUGAUUUCCAAAGCAGGGGGACUGAGUAGAGAAUUCCUCCAUGUGGAAUGUGACAUCACAGCAGGAGUACGUGACAAGGGGGCUCGAGGUUUGGGGCGGAGUUCCAAGGAGGCCCGAGGGGUGAGGCGGAGUACUAAUGGGCCCGAGUUGUGGGGCGGUGUCCCAAGGGAGCCCACGCUCUUUGAAUCCCUCCAAUACUGAUUCCAUCCUUCUUUGCAUCGCUUACGUCACACGUUUCUUUUCUCCACUCACGUUUGUCAUGAAAAUUGUAAAAAGUUUAGCUCCAUAAUACAUGGGAUUUUGAGCCAGGACCAAGCAUGCUCAUCUACUCAGUUGGCAUAUUGUUUUAGUUACUAUAAUUUUAAAGUAAAAAUAUAAAUUACUAGCUGUU
rnacentral:lncRNA from 1 species